GUGAAACACUGGUUCUCAUCCGAUCAAUGGAGUUAAGCAAUGCCGAGUCUAGUCAGUGCAUAUAUGAGUGACCGUUUGGGAAUACCAGGUGCUGUAA